UUGCCACCCCAACAUCCAUGUUGCCACCCCUACACUGGGAGCAGGAUGAUGUGGGAUGAGUGUGAGGACCAGCACAGCAGCAGGGCUGGGGUGAUGCCCGGGCUGGAAGGAUGAGAUGAAAACACCCAGGCAGGACCCUUGGCAACAGCAGGCAGAGAGGAGGCAGGUGGGCAAGAGAGACACAGCGCAGCCUCCCCAGGACCUUCUCAAACCUUGUGUCAGCUUUCCGGCUUUCUCCUCAAAAAAAUCCUACCAACAUACACAAUUCAAAAAACCCCAAGGAUUAGGAAAUGCAGGGAAACAGCAGGAAGUGGAGAGGAGCCCUGGGAGCCCUUGCAGUGCUCACAGACUGGGCAGGGCAGGGCCAGAAGUGGCUGAGGCAGCUCCGGAAAGGCUUCCCACCCAGACCAACCUGGUCCCAGCCCGGGAAGUGUUACUAAAACUCUCAGUCGCACCCUGGGAUUUGAGGGAACUGAAAUCUUGUGGUGCAACUGGAAGGGAUGAAGCAAGAGGUGCUUGCUCAGGAAGGAGUUGAGGGAUCCAGCGCUGUGGGGCUUCACAGGCAAGGCGUCAGCAGGCUGUCUCCUAGGAUUCCUGAACAGCCUCUGUUGUCACCACCUUCCCCUCAUCCUCCCGUGUCCACUCUUCGGGGAGCAGAGCCCCUGCCACAGCUGGACCCUUCAGUGCUAAGCGAGGAUGACAGGAUUAUUGGGAAACAAGUUGACACUUCCAAACAUAUUCUCUUUGCUGCUCUUUUCCUUCCUGAAGCUGGUCUGAGUGUGGCAGGGGUUGCUCAGGAAAGCCAGCAAGCUAAUGUCGUCUUGCAUUUGGUGCCAGGACAUGAAGUAAACACCGUCAGGGACCUCGCUCCGGUUCAAAGACAAGCCCUGUUUCUUAUUCUGAUCACAUUAUCCGUGCUCUCUGUACAGCUUCAUUGAUUCAUAUCUUAAAAAGAAAAGCCUUCAAAACCCAUUAAGCCUGCCUUGCAAUUCCAGGCCCUGCUCUCAGGGGCUGGGGCAAGAAGCAUUAACUAAUCUGCUCACAUUACCUCGCCUUUGAACCGAGCAUCUCUUGGCGUCAAUCAAGUGUGUUUGGAAGUGAUACGCUCCCGCGCAGGGCGAGUUUUGGCUGCCGAGGUCAUCCAAUGUCAAGUGAGCAGAGGGAUUGGCACUUAGGCAUUGUCCCCGGCACUGGGCUCCCUUUGGCACUUGUGGAGCACCCAGAGUUCAUGCCCCGGGGAGGGACAGUGGAGGGGUCUAAGUUAUGGUCCUCUGUUUCCUCAUGGAGGACCAUCCAGUUAUAAAGAAGCCCAGGAAAGAGCAACUUCCCAUGGCUGCUUCUUCUCAGGACCUCAGAUGGCAUCUGGGGCGCAAGAGUGGAGAUCUUCCUGGUGUCAGCCUGGCUGAGUCGAUGACGGAAGAGGAUUUGCAAGCAGCAAUGUCCUCUCAAGGAUUACGAAAGUCACGGUGCCUAUUGCCAGGGAAAAGAAGGUCCUUCCAGCCUCUUGGGCUCAAGCUCAGCCGGCAGCUGCUGUUUAUUUGGCUUUGGUGACUUCACAGCAUUCGGAAACAUGUUCCUGGGAGCCCAGCAUGCUUCAGCACGGCUGGCCGGGACAUCAGGUUCAGCCACCCUAUGUGCUCCCCAGUGCCUUGCGCAAGGCAGCUCCACGCCCUCUGGCUUAACUUCCACUCGGAAAGAAAUUAUUUACUCUCGUUUCCAUCUGGCUGGAGGAGACACUUGGAAUGUUUCUUCCACUGCUCUCCUGAAGGCUUCCCAUCUCUCUGGUGCCAGCAGCAAGACCCAACCGGUCAUUGAACCUGGCCUGAUCUAGGUUGCUUGGAUUUGGUUCUGAUUGCAAAAUCCUGUUGCAGGGGUAAGCUGUUUUCCGGUUGAGUUACAGGAAUGCCCAGCUUGGGUUUUUUUCUCAGCUGCCCUGCAGCAGCCAGCAUCCAUCCCACACCAUCCCUGCCACAGCGCCAAAAUGGAGCCAGAGCUUCCUGGCUGUGCCUUUAGGCACUGUUAAACCCUGUGUGAGCGCACUCACACAUGGCCAUCUUCCCCUUGUCCUCUCUCUUACAGAGGUUUCUCUUCUAUUUAUUCUCUUUAACACAAAGCCACUCAAUUCCAGAAGAUGCAUUUGGCUUUGCGAAGGGCUGAGCUGGGACGAGGUGCAUGAAGGCACGUCACUGCCUGGGGACAGGGACAGCUAAAGAGAGGAAAGGCUUCCCCGCCCGGAGAGGCUUCAGGUGGCUGCUGGGGAGAGGUGCCCACCAGCCGUGGUGCUAGGCAAGCCAGGCACAGGUGACAACCCUGGGCCAAGCGGUGCCUCCAGGAGGGACACGAGGGGCUGGUGUCGCUGCGUGGUGAUGGAGGAAGC